AUACUGUUCUCUCUGCGCAUGUCUAUAUACGUUUUCCCGCUUUUUUGUGUCGUGGAGGUGGGGAUCUUUUUCACUAUCAAGGGUUUGCAACAGUACUGCGCGUUACGUAAAUUCGGUAUAACCCUGUCCAAGGAUCCUCAUUUUUGACUUAACGUGGUCGGAGCUGCUACCAGUGAAGGUUGUGAAAUGGUGGGCACACGACGCGGGGACGUCGAGAUAUCCGAUUUUUUGCUAGCUGCACUUCAGGAUCAUCUGGAGCACCAAAAAGAGGCC